GCAAAGAACUUUGAAGAGAGAGUUCAAGAGGACGUGAAACUGCUUGGAAGGAAACGGGUAGAGUUACUGAUAGUGUCGGUGAAUCAAGCAACAAUGGCGUGUCCAUUGGUGUUGCAAUGCGCAAGCUUGUGACAUUGACUUGGAUGUGCAAUUGUUGCUGCACUUUAUUGACAUGCGCGCCGAGAGCACAUGGUCGUCUCGUGCAGCCAUUUGGUGUAGACGGAGUUAUGCUUGCAUUUCUACCAGCACUAAAAUGUUGUUGCUUGAAUGAUGACUUUGUGUUUUCACAUAUAGUGUUGGCGGUCUAGCGCCAGUGUGGCAUUGGUCGAUGGUAAUGGUUGUGGCGAGCGCUUGCGCGAACUGCACCAAAGCUGUUGCCAGUGCUAUUGCGGACUUUUCAACACUGUCUCGGUGUACAAGGUGACCACCUACCCGACCCGUCUUGAAACACGGAUCGCGGAGUUUUUAGUGUGCGCGAGUCAUUGAGUUUUUUGAACACUUAAUGGCGCAAUGAAAGUGAAGCCAGCUUGCUGGUUGACACACGAUCCGACAGUCUUGUGCUGGCGGCGCAGUGUGGCCCUGUCCAAACUGCUUGCAGUUGGGCAGAGGUAGAGCGUACACUGAGAGACCCGAAAGAUGGUGAACUAUGCCUGAUUAGAACGAAGCCAGAGGAAACUCUGGUGGAGGUUCGAAGUGGUUCUGACGUGCAAAUCGAUCAUCAAAAUUGGGUAUAGGGGCGCAAGACUAAUCGAACCAUCUAGUAG
rnacentral:rRNA from 1 species